rnacentral:rRNA from 1 species
AAAAGGAAAACAACAAGGGAUUGCCCUAGUAACGGCGAGUGAAGCGGCAACAGCUCAAAUUUGAAAUCUGGCGUCUUUGGCGUCCCGAGUUGUAAUUUGCAGAGGGCGCUUUGGCAUUGGCAGCCGGUCCAAGUUCCCUUGGAACAGGGACGUCACAGAGGGUGAGAAUCCCGUACGUGGUCGCUAGCCUUUACCCGUGUAAAGCCCCUUCGACGAGUCGAGUUGUUUGGGAAUGCAGCUCUAAAUGGGAGGUAAAUUUCUUCUAAAGCUAAAUACUGGCCAGAGACCGAUAGCGCACAAGUAGAGUGAUCGAAAGAUGAAAAGCACUUUGGAAAGAGAGUUAAAAAGCACGUGAAAUUGUUGAAAGGGAAGCGCUUGCAGCCAGACUUGCCUGUAGUUGCUCAUCCGGGUUUCUACCCGGUGCACUCUUCUAUAGGCAGGCCAGCAUCAGUUUGGGCGGUUGGAUAAAGGUCUCUGUCAUGUACCUCUCUUCGGGGAGAACUUAUAGGGGAGACGACAUGCAACCAGCCUGGACUGAGGUCCGCGCAUCUGCUAGGAUGCUGGCGUAAUGGCUGUAAGCGGCCCGUCUUGAAACACGGACCAAGGAGUCUAACAUCUAUGCGAGUGUUUGGGUGUCAAGCCCGAGCGCGUAAUGAAAGUGAACGGAGGUGGGAACCUUUCGGGGUGCACCAUCGACCGAUCCUGAUGUCUUCGGAUGGAUUUGAGUAAGAGCAUAGCUGUUGGGACCCGAAAGAUGGUGAACUAUGCUUGAAUAGGGUGAAGCCAGAGGAAACUCUGGUGGGAGGCUCGCAGCGGUGUCUGACGUGCAAAUCGAUCGUCAAAUUUCGGCAUAGGGGCGAAAGACUAAUCGUAACUAUCUAGUAGCUGGUUCUGCCGAAGU